UACGGAGGAUCCAAGCGUUAUCCGGAAUCAUUGGGUUUAAAGGGUCCGUAGGCGGUUGAAUAAGUCAGUGGUGAAAUCCGGCAGCUUAACUGUCGAACUGCCAUUGAUACUGUUUAACUUGAAUUACUGUGAAGUAACUAGAAUAUGUAGUGUAGCGGUGAAAUGCUUAGAUAUUACAUGGAAUACCAAUUGCGAAGGCAGGUUACUAAUGGUUUAUUGACGCUGAUGGACGAAAGCGUGGGGAGCGAACAGGAUUAGAUACCCUGGUAGUCCACGCUGUAAACGAUGGAUACUAGCUGUUGGGAGUAAUUUCAGUGGCUAAGCGAAAGUGAUAAGUAUCCCACCUGGGGAGUACGAACGCAAGUUUGAA
rnacentral:rRNA from 1 species